rnacentral:rRNA from 1 species
UACAUGGGGUGCAAACGUUGCUCGGAAUUAUUGGGCGUAAAGCGCACGUAGGCGGUUUGUUAAGUCGGAUGUGAAAUCCCUCGGCUCAACUGAGGAAGUGCAUCCGAAACUGGCAGGCUUGAGUACUAAAGAGGGUCGCGGAAUUCCCGGUGUAGAGGUGAAAUUCGUAGAUAUCUGGAGGAACACCGGUGGCGAAGGCGGCAUCCUGGACCAACACUGACACUGAGGAGCGAAAGCCAGGGGAGCAAACGGG